AAUAAUAGUUUAUUAAAGAAUUGGAUGUUUUUCCUAAUACUCAAAAUUCUUGGAUUCUAGAAAAAUGAAAUACUUAAAUUCUUUAUGAGAGAUAAAAUAUGAAAUUACUAAAUAGAUUGUUAGUCAGCCACCACCAAAGAAUGGUACAUGGUCUAAGAUCGUGUCAGCCUAAAAGAUUAGUAUAUCCUAUACAAAUGGUAAAACAACCAGAAGAAAAUUUCUCAAAGUUGUAUUGAAGUUAGUAUAAAGUCCU
rnacentral:lncRNA from 1 species